CUGAAGAUCACUACAAUAGUUUAUUAUUUGACCGGGUUAUUUACACAAACUGAUGUGUAACAAAACAAUGAAACAAAAAGCCAGCACAAAAUUUAUAUAGGUCAUGCCCAACAAAUGUACAUGUAUAUCUCUAGGACAACUGAUAAACAAAAUAGCUGAGUCCAAUAAGAGAGUUACAAAGUGAUGACACUAUCCUAGUUCACAAGUGCCCAGGUCAAUGGUGUACUAACAAAAGGAUGAAUUUAUUCAACAUGCUGUUGAUGAUUAAAAAAAACAAACUUGAACAACUAAGAAGGUGUAACCUUGCAAAGAAAAUCUGAUCAGUCUAGAAAAGGUUGUAGCAAUUAUUGAUGUUAAUUGAAUAUGGUCCAAACACAAUGAAGCAGAGACAGAGUUUUACCCACCAGACACAUUAAUUUGGAUGUUUGUUUUAAUUAACCUUAAACACAAAUAGUUUAACCAGGGAGGGGGGGGGGG